AAAGCGUGCGCAGGCGGUUUUGUAAGACAGUGGUGAAAUCCCCGGGCUCAACCUGGGAACUGCCAUUGUGACUGCAAAGCUAGAGUGCGGCAGAGGGGGAUGGAAUUCCGCGUGUAGCAGUGAAAUGCGUAGAUAUGCGGAGGAACACCGAUGGCGAAGGCAAUCCCCUGGGCCUGCACUGACGCUCAUGCACGAAAGCGUGGGGAGCAAACAGGAUUAGAUACCCCGGU
rnacentral:rRNA from 1 species